UACGAACAUAAGUCGAUAUACGUUUUUGUGUUGCCAAAGGCUCGACGAUGCCUAAUAAAAAUGCAUAAACAGAGACUAGUACUAUCAACGUCCAAGCACACCACAAAAUCCAACCAAUUAUUUCCACGUAAGCCAGUUUACGCGAAUAUCAAAUGGCACUUUCGAAGAAAAAUAUAUUUUCAAUCGUGACACCAAAAUACAUACAUAUAUAUAUAUAUAUAUAUAUAUAUAUAUAUAUACACAUAUAUACGUAUGUAUAUAUGUAUUACUUGAUAAUGAAAUUUAUCAAGAUACAAUAUAUAUAUGUAUAUAUUUUGAGUUAUCAAACAAAUUCGAAGAAUUAUUAGAUUUGUAAAGAUUUUUAACAGGGUUAAAGAUUAUCUUCGAGUCGUUGUUAUCGAGGAGAGUUCUCGAGAAGAAAAUGGUGGUGACCUUCAUUUUUAAAAAGAGACGUAGUAGUUAUCUCGCUAAGCGGAAAAUAUUUCAACUGUCUAGUUUAGACUACCUUCUUCGAAUAAAGUCACAAAAUAAAGAAAAGAAGAAGAAAACCUAGCCACGUGUCGUCUUUUUUUCUUCUUCUUUUUUUCUGUUUUCUUUCUCUCCCUUUUUUUUUUUUUUUUUAUCGCGAUUAAAUCAAUAUUCAAGAUCGUGAAUGACAAUGAAACAACGAUCGAUUAAAGAAACGCGAAUAACACUUUGAGAAUGAUACGCGAUGGGCAUAUUUCUAUUUGGCAACUCUAUUUCCUAGAGAGAGAGAGAGAGAGAGAGAGAGCAAGAGAGAAGUAGCAAAGGAGCUCCAAUCUAUAAAUAAAAGUCGGAGGUGCUCACGGUUAGCAGAUAGAGAGUCUCUAGUUGGUGACUUGGACCCAGUAGUAAACGUGCAAAGUUUCGUAACACGAGUUUGGAACGAGGGGGGUGAACGCUGCUUACUGACGCCGCCACGUGCAAAGGCUCACCUUGAGGGUGAGCACUGAGGUCGGCUGUACUCCGACAAGUAGCUCCUGCGGAGGCUGCUGGUCGUAGCCGAUGAGUAGUAACUGCGGGCCGAUCGAUCAGAAACGAUUUUAACGUCGUUUCUUUGGCAAUAAGAUCUUCUGCAAUCGGAAACGUAGCUGGAACGAAGACUAGGAAUCGUCGAUGAUGGGGACGAUGAAUAAAUGCUCGAACGAUCUCGAAGCGACGAUGGGGUAUCUCUUGAGGUGUAAUUGUACUUGGAC